GAUGAACGCUGGCGGCGCGCCUAACACAUGCAAGUCGAACGAUUAAAGCACCUUCGGGUGUGUAUAAAGUGGCGAACGGCUGAGUAACACGUGGGCAACCUGCCCCUCUCAUUGGGAUAGCCACGGGAAACCGUGGAUAAUACCGAAUACUUCGGGACUUCCGCAUGGAAGACUCGAGAAAGCUCCGGCGGAGAGGGAUGGGCCCGCGGCCUGUUAGCUUGUUGGUGGGGUAAUGGCCUACCAAGGCAAUGAUGGGUAGCUGGGUUGAGAGACCGACCAGCCAGAUUGGGACUGAGACACGGCCCAGACUCCUACGGGAGGCAGCAGUGGGGAAUCUUGCACAAUGGGCGAAAGCCUGAUGCAGCGACGCCGCGUGCGGGAUGAAGGCCUUCGGGUUGUAAACCGCUUUCAGCAGGGACGAGGCGAAAGUGACGGUACCUGCAGAAGAAGCCCGGGCUAACUACGUG
rnacentral:rRNA from 1 species